rnacentral:rRNA from 1 species
CAGUCGCCGCGGUAAUACAGAGGGUGCGAGCGUUAAUCGGAUUUACUGGGCGUAAAGCGUGCGUAGGCGGCUAAUUGAGUCGGAUGUGAAAUCCCCGAGCUUAACUUGGGAAUUGCAUUCGAUACUGGUUAGCUAGAGUGUGGGAGAGGAUGGUAGAAUUCCAGGUGUAGCGGUGAAAUGCGUAGAGAUCUGGAGGAAUACCGAUGGCGAAGGCAGCCAUCUGGCCUAACACUGACGCUGAGGUACGAAAGCAUGGGGAGCAAACAGGAUUAGAUACCCGGGUAGUCCCUGUCUCUUAUAC